rnacentral:lncRNA from 1 species
ACAUGUCAGCAGGUCAGGAAGCAAGCAAGCCUGGAAUUUAAGUCCAGGGAAGCAGGGAGAAAGCACUUUGCUAAGGAAUCAGCCCAGAAGACAGUCCAGACAGGAACCUAGGUUAGGGAAGUGCAAUGGGAAGACCACCCCCCACUCUGAUGCCACCCAGGAAAUGAGUUUGCUGUGGCCUAACAGUUGUUUUCUGAGUAUAUUUUCGUGUCAAAUAGAAAAAGUAGAACCUUUGGAGGAGGUGUGAAGAAAUGAAGAGCGACUAGAGGAAAAUAGAGAGUCAGAAGUUGCAGUAGCUGGAAGAGGUGGAAGAGAUGGGAGACUUACAGUUACAUGCUGACCUUUUCAGUCAUUUGGAGGCCUCAUGUUCUAGGCUCUUAACUGAUAGCGAUGAAGCCACCAACAGGUGUGAAAGGUGUCCUCUUAUUUACACACUAUUCCUUUGAAUAGUGUGAUUAAGUUUUCAUUCUUACAGUUCUAUGCUAUGACCAAUUUGAUAAAAGAUUCUCAUUUAACCAUGCUGUCUUCAUAUAUGUAAGCUUCCUUGAUAUCUAAAGAGUGUGAGCUCCUGAGCCAAGUCCAGUGGAAAAUUUGCAGUCUCUUCUAGGAUUAGAUGAAGACCCAAGAAUUCAUCUUGCUACAGUGGGACAAGAC